rnacentral:lncRNA from 1 species
CAACCGUUCUCUGCGGGAUGAUAGAAUUUAGUUACCUGUGCACGUAUGGCUAAAAUACUGCUGUGUUUUUGUUUGUUUGUUUGUUUGUAUGCCUCAUGCAUUUCAAAGGGUAGCAGGGUGUACAGUGAAGGGAGAUCCAUACUGCAAAGCUAUGCAGGGACAGCUGCAGCUCUCAGACUGCUGUCAUGGUAAAGCACUGGCCUGGGCAGAACCCAAACCCUGCUAGCUUCGAAAUAAUAACCCCCUCAGAAAAACCACCAGGCCUUUCUGUCUUGCUUUGGAAUUUACCGCCCUUUUUUUUUUUUUUUUUUUUUUUUAAAGAGUGUGUGUGUGUGUGUGGUACUUAAUUUUAUUUUUCCAGGACAAGACCCAAACCAAAGGGUACCAUAACACCUAUAUAUAAAACAUACCCCUAUAUAUUGAAUUAAAUUGGAGAAAAAAACACCAAACACACUCCCAACCAAUUCUGUUGCUUUUCAAUAAUCUAGAAAGUUUAGUUUCAAAAUUCAUUGCAUCUCUUGAUCUGAUUCCAUAAACUGAUAUGCAUGCUUAAUUGCUGCUUAUCUGUUCAUUCCAAAUUUUUCCCUCAUCAUUGUACCACAUAGCCGAUGUCCCUGUAAGAGUUUAUUUAGCAGGCUUUCUAGGGCUGCAACAGAUCAGCACUUAGGCCAUAGCUUUUGUAAAGGUCAUGUGCGUGUUGUUAGUUUAGAGGAUCCUGAGUGUCAGCUCACAAUAGCUUUGAUUCAUCUGAAAUUAAAUGGUGACUGUACCAGUAAUUUCAGAGUUUGCUGUUAUUUCUUAUUGCAUCACACAUACUUUGAUAUAUACCACGUGCUCCUGACUGAGGAGCUGAACUGAACAUUCUUCUCAGUACUGCUGCCAUGCCAGUUUGUUUUGUUAUCCAAGUUAUUUCCAGUUUCUUAUUUACACUUCUUGGCUUGCCAUUGUGAUUUAGUGGAGUACUAUCUGCUACUGAAUUCACCCAAACACAACUGUUUUUGUUUGUUUGUUUGUUUUUCCUUCAAGGGCUUCUAGUUGUCACCAGGCAAGUCUUACCACCAGAAUGAUGAUCGUUUUUUUCAUUGUUUAUGUGAUCCUGACAAAGUUGAGAAGUGAGAGAUUGCUAGAUUGUAGCUGAAGUUAGCUAAUACAUCUGUUAUAUGCUAUGACUUAAAACAUUCCUAGGAUUACAGCCCUGUUAGCAGGGAGAAAAGGCAGGCAUGAAAAGACAACCAACAAAAUAAAACAAUGUGCAGAUAUAACAAAAAUUACUGUGAGAAAUACGGCACAAGUAGGAAGGAUGGUGGCAGCCCACACUAAUGGGAACUCAUCCUAUGCUCAUGCCAAUAAAGCUUGUUUGGAGGCUGUUUUGUGUGCAAAGCUGCAGGGUUUUUAACCUUCAUUCUUUCCUCCUGCCUCUCUGCUAACGUUCCUUCUUUGUGAAAUCAGGUACCUGUAUGUUCAUGAGUGGCCUGACUCCAACAUACCUAAUUACUCCCUGAAAAAGGAGAAAAAAAAAAAAAGUUACAUAUUCAUUUCAUUUCAGACCUGAAGAAGGAUUUUCAUCUCUGUCCUGCAGAAGUGCUGUGCAGCCUGGACCUGCUUCCUUUCAGCAGUUUUUGGGUCCAUCUUCCCUUCAGUGGCCUUUGGUUCGUGCUUCCUCUCAGCAGCCCUAAUAUCUGCUUCCUUUCAGCAAUUUUUUGGGUCCUGCUUCCUUUCAGUGGCCCUAAUUCUUUGCCACUGGAAAGCAGAGAAAUAAAGUGUCCAUAAAUAAUGAAGAACUUUUCAACGCAUGCACAGAAUAAAAUUAAAAAAAUGUCAACAACUUCAGAUGGAUAUUGUAUAGCUUCCACCACUGUAAACUAGUAAGGACACAGAAGUGGAGCUGGAGGGGGAUUUUGAC